rnacentral:rRNA from 1 species
CAAUAGCGUAUAUUAAAGUUGUUGCAGUUAAAAAGCUCGUAGUUGGAUUUCUGGUUGAAGCGACCGGUCGGGCGUUGAUUCGUCUGCACUGGAGUCGGUUUUGGCCAUCCUCUAGGAAAGUGCGUCUGGUAUUAAGUUAUCGGGCGUAUGAUCCUGGUCUUUUACUGUGAAAAAAUUAGAGUGUUUAAAGCAGGCCUUCACCUUGAAUACAUUAGCAUGGAAUAAUAAGAUAGGACUUUGGUCUAUUUUGUUGGUUUGCAGACCGAAGUAAUGAUUAAUAGGGAUAGUUGGGGGUAUUUAUAUUCCGAUGUCAGAGGUGAAAUUCUUAGAUUUUCGGAAGAUAAACUUAUGCGAAAGCAUUUACCAAGGAUGUUUUCAUUAA